CCUACGGGGGGCAGCAGUGAGGAAUAUUGGUCAAUGGGCGCGAGCCUGAACCAGCCAAGUAGCGUGAAGGAUGACUGCCCUACGGGUUGUAAACUUCUUUUAUAAAGGAAUAAAGUGAGGCAAGGGUGCCUUUUUGGACGUACUUUAUGAAUAAGGAUCGGCUAACUCCGUGCCAGCAGCCGCGGUAAUACGGAGGAUCCGAGCGUUAUCCGGAUUUAUUGGGUUUAAAGGGAGCGUAGAUGGGUUGGUAAGUCAGUUGUGAAAGUUUGCGGCGUAACCGUAAAAUUGCAAUUGAUACUGGCAGCCUUGAGUACAGUUGAGGUAGGCGGAAUUCGUGGUGUAGCGGUGAAAUGCGUAGAUAUCACGAAGAACUCCGAUUGCGAAGGCAGCUUACUAAACUGCCACUGACAUUGAUGCUCGAAAGCAUGGGUAGCGAACAGGAUUAGAUACCCCAGUAGUC
rnacentral:rRNA from 1 species